CCUACAAAACAAAGUCAAGUUAGUUCAUAAACAUCAACCAAACUCAAUUCAAAUUGCCUUGAAGCAAUCUCCUUAAGCAUUGUGCAUUUCAUCAUGAAAAUCCAAACCAAAUGUGAGAAACUAGACCACUAGGCCAAGCCUAGGGUCCAAAGGGGGUAAGAAGUUCUAAACAGCAAGUGCAAACCAAUCAAAAUCACAUUAAAACAAAUCAAAAGCAAAUGCAAUUGGUCCCAUGCUCAUACCAUUCACCAUUAUCAUUUCAUGCACAAUUUAACAUCAAUCAUGCAAUUUGCAACUUCAA
rnacentral:lncRNA from 1 species